GAUGAACGCUGGCGGCGUGCCUAAUACAUGCAGGUCGAGCGAACGGACGAGAAGCUUGCUUCUCUGAUGUUGGCGGCGGACGGGUGAGUAACACGUGGAUAACCUACCUAUAAGACUGGGAUAACUUCGGGAAACCGGAGCUAAUACCGGAUAAUAUUUUGAACAGCAUGGUUCAAAAGUGAAAGACGGUCUUGCUGUCACUUAUAGAUGGAUCCGCGCUGCAUUAGCUAGUUGGUAAGGUAACGGCUUACCAAGGCAACGAUGCAUAGCCGACCUGAGAGGGUGAUCGGCCACACUGGAACUGAGACACGGUCCAGACUCCUACGGGAGGCAGCAGUAGGGAAUCUUCCGCAAUGGGCGAAAGCCUGACGGAGCAACGCCGCGUGAGUGAUGAAGGUCUUCGGAUCGUAAAACUCUGUUAUUAGGGAAGAACAUAUGUGUAAGUAACUGUGCACAUCUUGACGGUACCUACUCAGAAAGCCACGGCUAACUACGUG
rnacentral:rRNA from 1 species